CUUUUGCAUUAAUCUGUGG
rnacentral:misc_RNA from 1 species